UGGCGGCGCGCCUAACACAUGCAAGUCGAACGAGAAAGUCCGCAAGGAUGAGUAAAGUGGCGUACGGGUGAGUAACACGUGGAUGAUCUGCCCUUUAGUGGGGAAUACCGCUGGGAAACCGGCGACAAUACCGCAUAAGCUCGAGAGAGGAAAGCAGCAAUGCGCUGAAGGAGGAGUCCGCGGCCGAUUAGCUAGUUGGUAGGGUAAAGGCCUACCAAGGCUGUGAUCGGUAGCCGGCCUGAGAGGGCACACGGCCACACUGGCACUGAAACACGGGCCAGACUCCUACGGGAGGCAGCAGUGGGGAAUCUUGCACAAUGGGGGAAACCCUGAUGCAGCGACGCCGCGUGAGCGAUGAAGCCCUUCGGGGUGUAAAGCUCUUUCGGCAGGGAAGAUUAUGACGGUACCUGCAGAAGCAGCUGCGGCUAACUACGUGCCAGCAGCCGCGGUAAUACGUAGCAGCAAGCGUUGUUCGGAGUUACUGGGCGUAAAGGGUGCGCAGGCGGCUCUAUAAG
rnacentral:rRNA from 1 species